GACGAACGCUGGCGGCGUGCUUAACACAUGCAAGUCGAACGGAAAGGCCCCUUUGGGGGUACUCGAGUGGCGAACGGGUGCGUAACACGUGCGUAACCUGCCCUUGACUUCGGGAUAACUUCAGGAAACUGGGGCUAAUACCGGAUAGGAAUCCUUGCUGCAUGGUGGGGGUUGGAAAGCUUCGGCGGUUUUGGAUGGACUCGCGGCUUAUCAGCUUGUUGGUGGGGUAGUGGCUUACCAAGGCUUUGACGGGUAGCCGGCCUGAGAGGGCGACCGGCCACAUUGGGACUGAGAGACGGCCCAGACUCCUACGGGAGGCAGCAGUGGGGAAUAUUGCACAAUGGGCGGAAGCCUGAUGCAGCAACGCCGCGGGCGGGAUGACGGCCUUCGGGUUGGAAACCGCUUUCAGCAGGGGCGAAGCUUGUGGUGACGGUACCUGCAGAAGAAGCACCGGCUAACUACGUG
rnacentral:rRNA from 1 species